rnacentral:rRNA from 1 species
GAUGAACGCUGGCGGCGUGCCUAAUACAUGCAAGUCGAGCGAACGGACGAGAAGCUUGCUUUUCUGAUGUUAGCGGCGGACGGGUGAGUAACACGUGUAUAACCUACCUAUAAGACUGGGAUAACUUCGGGAAACCGGAGCUAAUACCGGAUAAUAUUUUGAACCGCAUGGUUCAAAAGUGAAAGACGGUCUUGCUGUCACUUAUAGAUGGAUCCGCGCUGCAUUAGCUAGUUGGUAAGGUAACGGCUUACCAAGGCAACGAUGCAUAGCCGACCUGAGAGGGUGAUCGGCCACACCGGAACUGAGACACGGUCCAGACUCCUACGGGAGGCAGCAGUAGGGAAUCUUCCGCAAUGGGCGAAAGCCUGACGGAGCAACGCCGCGUGAGUGAUGAAGGUCUUCGGAUCGUAAAACUCUGUUAUUAGGGAAGAACAUAUGUGUAAGUAACUGUGCACAUCUUGACGGUACCUAAUCAGAAAGCCACGGCUAACUACGUG